rnacentral:rRNA from 1 species
AACGAACGCUGGCGGCAGGCCUAAAACAUGCAAGUCGAACGAACCUUCGGGUUAGUGGCGCACGGGUGAGUAACGCGUGGGAAUGUGCCUCUGGGUGCGGAACAACGUCGGGAAACUGACGCUAAUACCGCAUAAUGUCUACGGACCAAAGAUUUAUCGCCCAGAGAUCAGCCCGCGUCUGAUUAGCUAGUUGGUGAGGUAACGGCUCACCAAGGCUACGAUCAGUAGCUGGUCUGAGAGGAUGAUCAGCCACACUGGAACUGAGACACGGUCCAGACUCCUACGGGAGGCAGCAGUGAGGAAUAUUGGUCAAUGGGCGGAAGCCUGAACCAGCCAUGCCGCGUGCAGGAUGACGGCCCUACGGGUUGUAAACUGCUUUUCCCCGGGGCGAAUAACCCCCUCGCGAGGGGGAGUGGCCGGUACCGGGGAAGUAAGGAGUCGGCUAACUCCGUG